UACUCCUACCCGGAGGCAGCAGUGGGGAAUUUUGGACAAUGGGGGCAACCCUGAUCCAGCAAUGCCGCGUGUGUGAAGAAGGCCUUCGGGUUGUAAAGCACUUUUGUCCGGAAAGAAAACGUCGUGGCUAAUACCCGUGGCGGAUGACGGUACCGGAAGAAUAAGCACCGGCUAACUACGUGCCAGCAGCCGCGGUAAUACGUAGGGUGCAAGCGUUAAUCGGAAUUACUGGGCGUAAAGCGUGCGCAGGCGGUUCGCUAAGACAGAUGUGAAAUCCCCGGGCUUAACCUGGGAACUGCAUUUGUGACUGGCGGGCUAGAGUAUGGCAGAGGGGGGUAGAAUUCCACGUGUAGCAGUGAAAUGCGUAGAGAUGUGGAGGAAUACCGAUGGCGAAGGCAGCCCCCUGGGCCAAUACUGACGCUCAUGCACGAGCACCUUU
rnacentral:rRNA from 1 species